rnacentral:lncRNA from 1 species
AUACGGAUUCAGAUAUCGGAUAAAAUGUCCACCCCUAUUUAAUAAUAUAGAUAUCAACACAAGUAUAUAUAAAAUUUAACUAGGUGUUUUGCCCGCACAUACAUGCAUAAUCAUCUUACGAAUACUUAUUAUUUUAUGUCUUAUUAAUCUAAAAAUAGGCAUUAUAAAACCCUAAUUAGUGAACAUGUUGAAGGAAAAAAAUUAUGGUGAAUUCUUUGUUCCUAAAAAUUUAUACCAGUUAUGUUGAAAUUUUAGUCAAAUUAUUGAAAGGUAGAUCCCACUUUUUUCUUCUAAAUUCCCCAUGGAGGAAUGAAUUUAUAAGAAAAAAUUUCCCUAUUCAAUUUUGAUAACGAACAAAUUGAACAAAAAUUCAUAUUUUUUUUAUUUUUUCAAUUCCUCAAAUGAAAUUUUAUUUUUUAUUUUGUUCAUUUUUUUCAUUUUUGUAGUGGUCACCAACUAAAGCUAUAGUGUUUCACGAAUUAAACU